rnacentral:rRNA from 1 species
AGAGUUUGAUCCUGGCUCAGAUUGAACGCUGGCGGCAUGCUUUACACAUGCAAGUCGAACGGCAGCACGUUUUAGGCAACUAAGAUGGUGGCGAGUGGCGGACGGGUGAGUAGAACAUCGGAACGUACCCAUUAGAGGGGGAUAACUUGGCGAAAGUCAAGCUAAUACCGCGUAAGCUCGGGAGAGGAAAGCAGGGGAUCUUANNGGACCUUGCGCUGAUGGAGCGGCCGAUGACUGAUUAGCUAGUUGGUGGGGUAAAGGCCUACCAAGGCGACGAUCGGUAGCUGGUCUGAGAGGAUGAUCAGCCACACUGGGGAUGAGAGACGGCCCAGACUCCUACGGGAGGCAGCAGUGGGGAAUUUUGGACAAUGGGCGGAAGCCUGAUCCAGCAAUGCCGCGUGGGUGAAGAAGGCCUUAGGGUUGUAAAGCCCUUUCGGUAGGGAAGAAAAGGUAUUUUUAAAUAGAGGAUACUGAUGACGGUACCUGCAGAAGAAGCACCGGCAAACUACGUGCCAGCAGCCGCGGUAACACGUAGGGUGCGAGCGUUAAUCGGAAUUAUUGGGCGUAAAGGGUACGCAGGCGGGUGUGUAAGUCAGGUGUGAAAUUCCUGGGCUCAACUUGGGGACAGCACUUGAGACUGCAUAGCUAGAGUAUGGCAGAGGGGGGUGGAAUUUCACGUGUAGCAGUGAAAUGCGUAGAGAUGUGAAGGAACACCGAUGGCGAAGGCAGCCCCCUGGGCCGUUACUGACGCUCAUGUACGAAAGCGUGGGGAGCGAACAGGAUUAGAUACCCUGGUAGUCCACGCCCUAAACGAUGUCGACUAGUUGUUGGGGNNUUAUUAUAACUUUAGUAACGUAGCUAACGCGUGAAGUCGACCGCCUGGGGAGUACGAUCGCAAGAUUAAAACUCAAAGGAAUUGACGGGGACCCGCACAAGCGGUGGAUGAUGUGGAUUAAUUCGAUGCAACGCGAAGAACCUUACCUACCCUUGACAUGUGCGGAAGGUGGGAGAGAUUUCACUGUGCCUGAGAGGGAACCGCAACACAGGUGCUGCAUGGCUGUCGUCAGCUCGUGUCGUGAGAUGUUGGGUUAAGUCCCGCAACGAGCGCAACCCUUGUUAUCAUUUGCUACGAAAGGGCACUCUGAUGAGACUGCCGGUGACAAACCGGAGGAAGGUGGGGACGACGUCAAGUCAUCAUGGCCCUUAUGGGUAGGGCUUCACACGUCAUACAAUGGUUGGUACAGAGGGUAGCGAACCCGCGAGGGGGUGCGAAUCCCAGAAAGCCAAUCGUAGUCCGGAUUGCAGUCUGCAACUCGACUGCAUGAAGUCGGAAUCGCUAGUAAUCGUGGAUCAGAAUGCCGCGGUGAAUACGUUCCCGGGUCUUGUACACACCGCCCGUCACACCAUGGGAGUGGGAUUAACCAGAAGCAGGUAGCCUAACCGCGAGGGGGGCGUUUGCCACGGUGAGUUUCAUGACUGGGGUGAAGUCGUAACAAGGUAGCCGUAUCGGAAGGUGCGGCUGGAUCACCUCCUU